UACGAAGGGGGCUAGCGUUGUUCGGAAUUACUGGGCGUAAAGCGCACGUAGGCGGAUAUUUAAGUCAGGGGUGAAAUCCCGGGGCUCAACCCCGGAACUGCCUUUGAUACUGGGUAUCUAGAGUCCAGAAGAGGUGAGUGGAAUUCCGAGUGUAGCGGUGAAAUGCGUAGAUAUCGGGAGGAACACCGGUGGCGAAGGCGGCAUUUCUGGACUGCAACUGACACUGAUGAACGAAGCCAGGGAGCAAACGGG
rnacentral:rRNA from 1 species